rnacentral:rRNA from 1 species
ACUAAUUCUAGCCCUAACACAAAUAAAUAUAACUAUAAUUUUACAUAAACUAAAACAUUUAUUCUAAUAAAAGUAUUGGAGAAAGAAAUUAUUCUCAGGAGCUAUAGAACUAGUACCGCAAGGGAAAGAUGAAAGAUCAAUUAAAAGUAAUACUAAGCAAAGAUAUGACCUUGUACCUUUUGCAUAAUGAGUUAACUAGAAAUACCCUAGCUAAAUGAAUUACAGCUAGCUACCCCGAAACCAAACGAGCUACCUAAAAACAAUUUUUAGAAUUAACCCGUCUAUGUGGCAAAAUAGUGGGAAGAGUUUUAGGUAGGGGUGAAAAGCCUAACGAGCUUGGUGAUAGCUGGUUACCCAAGAAAUGAAUUUCAGUUCAACUUUAAGCUUACCACAAGAAUAUGAAAAUCUAAAUGUAAACUUAAAUUAUAGCCAAAAGAGGGACAGCUCUUUAGGAAUGGAAAAAACCUUAAAUAGUGAAUAAAUAAACUAUCCAUUUAACCAUUGUAGGCCUAAAAGCAGCCAUCAAUAAAGAAAGCGUUCAAGCUCAACAUUAAAAUUGACUAAUUCAACUAAUUACUAUAAAUUCCUAUAUCAAAAUUGGGUCAAUCUAUUAUAUCAUAGAUGAGAUACUGUUAACAUGAGUAACAAGAAUAAUUUCUCCAAGCACAAGCGUAUAACAACUCGGAUUCCCAUUGUUAGUUAAAGGACUCUAGAUAAUAAUCUCAAACUGAAACAUCUAAAAUUUUACCAUUAACCCAACACAGGAGUGCUAUAAGGAAAGAUAAAAAAGAAUAAAAGGAACUCGGCAAACAUAAACCCCGCCUGUUUACCAAAAACAUCACCUCUAGCAUUACAAGUAUUAGAGGCAAUGCCUGCCCAGUGACUAAAGUUAAACGGCCGCGGUAUCCUGACCGUGCAAAGGUAGCAUAAUCACUUGUUCCUUAAUUAGGGACUAGCAUGAACGGCUAAACGAGGGUUUAACUGUCUCUUAUUCUCAAUCAGUGAAAUUGACCUUCCAGUGAAGAGGCUGGAAUAUUAUAAUAAGACGAGAAGACCCUAUGGAGCUUUAAUCAAUUAGCUUAAUUACUAAAACAAACUAAUCUAUUGACCUAAAAAUGAAAUUAUAAGCUAAAAAUUUUGGUUGGGGUGACCUCGGAGAAUAAAAAAUCCUCCGAAUGAUUCUAGCACAGACCAACAAGUCAAAGCAACCUUACUGAUCUUAUUGACCCAAAAAUCUUUUGAUCAACGGACCAAGUUACCCUAGGGAUAACAGCGCAAUCCUAUUUAAGAGUCCAUAUCGACAAUUAGGGUUUACGACCUCGAUGUUGGAUCAGGACAUCCCAAUGGUGCAGAAGCUAUUAAUGGUUCGUUUGUUCAACGAUUAAAGUCCUACGUGAUCUGAGUUCAGACCGGAGUAAUCCAGGUCGGUUUCUAUCUAUUUACAAUUUCUCCCAGUACGAAAGGACAAGAGAAAUAGAGCCAACUUUACAAAAGCGCUCUCAACCCAAUCUAUGAAAAAAAUCUCAAUACAGUUGGUAUGUAAAAAUCAAAAUCUAGACAAGAUA